GUAGGUGGCAAGCGUUGUCCGGGAAUUAUUGGGGCGUAAAGCGCGCGCAGGCGGUUCUUUAAGUCUGAUGUGAAAGCCCACGGGCUCAACCGUGGAGGGUCAUUGGAAACUGGAGAACUUGAGUACAGAAGAGGAAAGCGGAAUUCCACGUGUAGCGGUGAAAUGCGUAGAGAUGUGGAGGAACACCAGUGGCGAAGGCGGCUUUCUGGUCUGUAACUGACGCUGAGGCGCGAAAGCGUGGGGAGCAAACAGGAUUAGAUACCCUGGUAGUCCACGCCGUAAACGAUGAGUGCUAAGUGUUAGGGGGUUUCCGCCCCUUAGUGCUGCAGCUAACGCAUUAGGCACUCCGCCUGGGGAGUACGGCCGCAAAGGCUG
rnacentral:rRNA from 1 species